ACCAGCAAGCAUUGCAAGUGUGGAUGCUGUAUCACUUGUGCAUCAGUAGGUGGCAGAGAGGAGAGAGAGGCUAUGUCUACACUCAGUGUUCUGACCUAUGAACAUCUGAAGGAUUAGUAACCUAAAAUU